ensembl:snRNA U6 U6 spliceosomal RNA
GUGCGACUUUGAUCGUGCAUAUACUAAAAUUGGAACGAUACAGAGAAGAUUAGCAUGGCCCCUGGCGCAAGGAUGACACGCAAAUUCGUGAAGCGUUCCUCACUUUA